AUGUCCCCAAUGUUAUUUAACAUUGUCGCUGACAUGUUGGCGAUUCUGAUUGAGCGCGCCAAGCAGGAGGGCCAGAUUGCAGGAGUAGUGCCACACCUUGUGGAUGGUGGCCUCUCUAUUUUACAAUACGCCGAUGACACAAUUCUUUUUAUGGAACAUGAUCUGGACAAGGCUCGAAACCUAAAACUCUUGCUUUCAGCGUUUGAGCAAAUGUCGGGUCUCAAAAUAAACUUCCGUAAAAGCGAAUUGUUCUGCUUUGGAGAAGCCUUUGAGGCGGCGGCCGAUUAUCCUUACCUAUUUGGUUGCGCACAUGGCCAAUUCCCGAUUAAAUAUCUGGGAAUACCGAUUCAUUAUCGAUGCCUCACCAUUGCGGAGUGGAAGCAUGUAGAGGAGCGUCUAGAGAAACGGUUGACUAGUUGGAAAGGUAAACUACUCUCAGUUGGAGGACGGUUGGUUUUGAUUAACUCUGUCCUCACAAAUAUGGUUCUCUAUAUGCUUUCUUUCUUUCAAUUCCCAAAAGGGGUCCUAAAAAGACUGGAUUAUUUUAGAUCCAGAUUCUUUUGGCAAGGAGAUGGUGAAAAGAAAAAAUAA
rnacentral:rRNA from 1 species